GAAUAUUGGUCAAUGGAGGCAACUCUGAACCAGCCACGUCGCGUGAAGGAUGACGGCCCUACGGGUUGUAAACUUCUUUUAUACAGGAAUAAAGUGAGUCACGUGUGACUUUUUGCAUGUACUGUAUGAAUAAGGAUCGGCUAACUCCGUGCCAGCAGCCGCGGUAAUACGGAGGAUCCAAGCGUUAUCCGGAUUUAUUGGGUUUAAAGGGUGCGUAGGCGGUUUAUUAAGUCAGUGGUGAAAUCCUGCAGCUUAACUGUAGCAUUGCCAUUGAUACUGAUAAACUUGAGUACAGACGAGGUAGGCGGAAUUGAUAGUGUAGCGGUGAAAUGCAUAGAUACUAUCAAGAACACCGAUUGCGAAGGCAGCUUACUAGGCUGUAACUGACGCUGAGGCACGAAAGCGUGGGGAGCAAACAG
rnacentral:rRNA from 1 species